GCCGCGUGCGCGAUGAAGGCCUUCGGGUUGUAAAGCGCUGUCGAGGGGGAGGAAAGCCCGCAAGGGUCUGACCUAUCCCUGGAGGAAGCACGGGCUAAGUUCGUGCCAGCAGCCGCGGUAAGACGAACCGUGCAAACGUUGUUCGGAAUCACUGGGCUUAAAGGGCGCGUAGGCGGGUUCCCAAGUCGGUGGUGAAAUCUUUCGGCCCAACCGGAAAAGUGCCGCCGAUACUGGGAGUCUCGAGGGAGGUAGGGGUCGAUGGAACUUCCGGUGGAGCGGUGAAAUGCGUAGAUAUCGGAAGGAACGCCGGUGGCGAAAGCGAUCGACUGGACCUCUUCUGACGCUGAGGCGCGAAAGCCAGGGGAGCAAACGGGAUUAGAUACCCCGGUAGUCCUGGCCCUAAACGAUGGGUACCAGAUUGUGGACUGGACAUGGGUUCACAGUCGAGGCAAAAGUGUUAAGUACCCCGCCUGGGGAGUAUGGUCGCAAGGCUGAAACUCAAAGGAAUUGACGGGGGC
rnacentral:rRNA from 1 species